CCGGAAAGCCCGAGUUUUCCCUGAAGUCAGCCGGCUAAGCGAAAAUCCGGCUUCGUAGUACAGGCCUCAGGAUUCAAACAAGAUGGGAUCAGGAUGAAGAUUUGUGUUUCACACGAGUUGUGUUCCGAGCGAAGGAUGGAAGAAAACAACAAUAGACGGAAAAUGGACAACAAUAUCACAUUCACACUGUUUAGGCAGAAACAAACUAAAGUGCAAGGAGUUCAGAUACAGAAGGUUUACAUUCAUGUGCUCAGUUUAAGUAUUCAAUCCCUCCUGCUUUUCUCUCAGUUGUUGUGCCAAUCUGUUAGAUCAUGAAGUGUUGACAUGUUUUAUAAAGAUUGGGUUUAGUGCCUCUUUCCCUGUUCUUACUGAAAUCUUAUUAAUAAGCUGUGUGCAAACAAAAUGUUAUCAUCAACUAACAAACUGCUCCUUUCCUUAUUGAUGAAUGUGGUAUCAUUACAUAUAUUUGAAUCCUGAUAAAAAUGAUCAAUAUAAGAACAAAUAAUAAAUACAUUGAAAGGAUAGCAGGAUGAACAUUUCAGUAUUCCAGAAAAACAGUAAAAUUCUAAAUAUUUUAGAUACAUUUUACAUAGCCUACAUUUGAUCCAAGUGAAUUGACUUAAUUCAGAAUAUUUCGCUCUUUCUCGUCGCUCUUUAACUAUUGGAUGUGCCAACACAAUAUUUGGAUAUUUUCUCCUCAACUAAGUUGCUGUGUCUAAAAAUGUAAUGUAACAUUUAACAUGAAUUUAUAUCCAAUGUGACAUUAUCAAAAACAUUACCUCCUAUUAAUGUAUUUUGUUUUUCGACUAAAUAUUAUCGAUUGAAUGAAAGACCCUUUAGUAGACCAUAAUAAUUAAAUUAAUCAUUCAUAAUACAGGUUAUUAUUUAGGACUUCUGUUAUUGGCAUUAACCACAACAUAAUGCAUCCAAAUUCACUCAUGAAAGAAAUGUAAUGUAUUUCUUAAUGUUUUCAUUCUUUCCAAAUUGAACUUUUUUGUUUCAGUUUGUUUUAUUUCUUUCCACAACUCCAAUAACAAGUUACAUUUGAUCAGAUGUGCAGAUCAACCUCCAUGUGUAAUUGUAUUUCCUGUUUGUUGUUAUUAAAUACAUUUAAACUUCUA